rnacentral:rRNA from 1 species
UGAGGUUCCAGGAAAAGCCACUAAGCUUCAGCUACACACGACCGUACCGCAAACCGACACUGGUGCGCGAGAUGAGUAUUCUAAGGCGCUUGAGAGAACUCGGGAGAAGGAACUCGGCAAAUUGACACCGUAACUUCGGAAGAAGGUGUGCCCUAGUAGUGUGAAGUGAACAACGGAGCAUGAAUGGGUUGCAAAAAAUCGGUGGCUGCGACUGUUUAUUAAAAACACAGCACUCUGCAAACACGAAAGUGGACGUAUAGGGUGUGACGCCUGCCCGGUGCUGGAAGAUUAAAUGAUGGGGUGCAAGCUCUUGAUUGAAGUCCCAGUAAACGGCGGCCGUAACGAUAACGGUCCUAAGGUAGCGAAAUUCCUUGUCGGGUAAGUUCCGACCUGCACGAAUGGCGUAACGAUGGCCACACUGUCUCCUCCCGAGACUCAGCGAAGUUGAAAUGUUUGUGAUGAUGCAAUCUCCCCGCGGAAAGACGGAAAGACCCCAUGAACCUUUACUGUAGCUUUGUAUUGGACUUUGAACAGAUCUGUGUAGGAUAGGUGGGAGGCUUUGAAGCAGGGUCGCUAGAUCUUGUGGAGCCAACGUUGAAAUACCACCCUGGUGUGUUUGAGGUUCUAACCUAGGUCCAUUAUCUGGAUCGGGGACAGUGCAUGGUAGGCAGUUUGACUGGGGCGGUCUCCUCCCAAAGCGUAACGGAGGAGUUCGAAGGUACGCUAGUUACGGUCGGACAUCGUGACGAUAGUGCAAUGGCAUAAGCGUGCUUAACUGCGAGACUGACAAGUCGAGCAGAUGCGAAAGCAGGACAUAGUGAUCCGGUGGUUCUGUAUGGAAGGGCCAUCGCUCAACGGAUAAAAGGUACUCUGGGGAUAACAGGCUGAUACCGCCCAAGAGUUCAUAUCGACGGCGGUGUUUGGCACCUCGAUGUCGGCUCAUCUCAUCCUGGGGCUGUAGCCGGUCCCAAGGGUAUGGCUGUUCGCCAUUUAAAGAGGUACGUGAGCUGGGUUUAAAACGUCGUGAGACAGUUUGGUCCCUAUCUUCCGUGGGCGCUGCAGAUUUGAGGAAGCCUGCUCCUAGUACGAGAGGACCGGAGUGGACGCACCUCUGGUGUAUCGGUUGUCACGCCAGUGGCAUUGCCGAGUAGCUAUGUGCGGAAGAGAUAACCGCUGAAAGCAUCUAAGCGGGAAACUCGUUCCAAGAUGAGAUCUGCCGGGGCCUUGAGCCCCCUAAAGAGUCGUUCAAGACCAGGACGUUGAUAGGUCAGGUGUGGAAGCGCAGUAAUGCGUUAAGCUAACUGAUACUAAUUGCUCGUGCGGCUUGACCCU